rnacentral:rRNA from 1 species
CCCUUAGACGUUCUGGGCCGCACGCGCGCUACACUGACCAGUGCAACAAGCAUCCGUCCUUGGCCGACAGGCUCGGGCAAUCUUUGAACGCUGGUCGUGAUGGGGAUAGACUUUUGCAAUUUUUGGUCUUCAACGAGGAAUUCCUAGUAAAUGCAAGUCAUCAACUUGCAUUGAUUACGUCCCUGCCCUUUGUACACACCGCCCGUCGCACCUACCGAUUGAAUGGUCCGGUGAAGCCUCCGGAUUGGCGCGCACCUCGGUGCCGCCGAGAAGUUGGCUAAACCUUACCAUUUAGAGGAAGGUGAAGUCGUAACA